rnacentral:rRNA from 3 species
UCUAAGCACGAAACUUGCCCCGAGAUGAGUUCUCCCUGAGACUUAGAGUCUCCUGAAGGAACGUUGAAGACGACGACGUUGAUAGGCCGGGUGUGUAAGCGCAGCGAUGCGUUGAGCUAACCGGUACUAAUGAACCGUGAGGCUUAACCUUACAACGCCGAAG